CAAUAAGCGGAGGAAAAGAAACCAACAGGGAUUGCCCCAGUAACGGCGAAGUGAAGCGGCAACAGCUCAAAUUUGAAAUCUGGCCCUCGGGCCCGAGUUGUAAUUUGGAGAGGAUGCUUUUGGCGCGGCGCCGUCCGAGUUCCUUGGAACAGGACGCCAUAGAGGGUGAGAGCCCCGUACGGGCGGCCGCCUAGCCUUUGUAAAGCUCCUUCGACGAGUCGAGUAGUUUGGGAAUGCUGCUCAAAAUGGGAGGUAAAUUUCUUCUAAAGCUAAAUACCGGCCAGAGACCGAUAGCGCACAAGUAGAGUGAUCGAAAGAUGAAAAGCACUUUGAAAAGAGGGUUAAACAGUACGUGAAAUUGUUGAAAGGGAAGCGCCUGUGACCAGACUUGCGCCCCGUGGAUCAUCCGGUGUUCUUCACCGGUGCACUCCGCGGGCUGCAGGCCAGCAUCGGUUUUCCUAGGGGGACAAAGGCCGCAGGAACGUGGCUCCUUCGGGAGUGUUAUAGCCUGUGGCGUCAUGCCUCUGGGGGGACCGAGGACCGCGCUUCGGCAAGGAUGCUGGCGUAAUGGUCACCGGCGACCCGUCUUGAAACACGGACCAAGGAGUCAAGCAUUGGGGCGAGUGUCUGGGUGCCAAACCCGCACGCGAAAUGAAAGUAAACGCAGGUGAGAGCUUCGGCGCAUCACCGACCGAUCCUGAUGUCUUCGGAUGGAUUUGAGUAAGAGCCUUACCGCUUGGACCCGAAAGAUGGUGAACUAUGCCUGUAUAGGGUGAAGCCAGAGGAAACUCUGGUGGAGGCUCGCAGCGGUUCUGACGUGCAAAUCGAUCGUCAAAUAUGGGCAUGGGGGGCGAAAGACUAAUCGAACCAUCUAGUAGCUGGUUACCGC
rnacentral:rRNA from 1 species